rnacentral:rRNA from 1 species
UACGUAGGGUGCGAGCGUUGUCCGGAAUUAUUGGGCGUAAAGAGCUUGUAGGCGGUCUGUCGCGUCUGCUGUGAAAAUCCGGGGCUCAACCCCGGACUUGCAGUGGGUACGGGCAGACUAGAGUGUGGUAGGGGAGACUGGAAUUCCUGGUGUAGCGGUGAAAUGCGCAGAUAUCAGGAGGAACACCGAGUGGCGAAGGCAGGAUCUCUGGG